rnacentral:rRNA from 1 species
AAGUCUGAAGAGGAGUCAAAUGCUUCUUUUCUUAAGGACAAGCUGUGAUGGGGAGGGAAAUAAUAGUACCGAAGUUCCUGAUGUCACACUGCCGAGAAAAGCUUCUAGUGAGAAAACAGCGGCCCGUACCGCAAACCGACACAGGUAGUCGAGGAGAGAAUCCUAAGGUGAGCGAGAGAACUCUCGUUAAGGAACUCGGCAAAAUGACCCCGUAACUUCGGGAGAAGGGGUGCUGAUCAUACGAUCAGCCGCAGUGAAUAGGCCCAAGCGACUGUUUAUCAAAAACACAGGUCUCUGCAAAAUCGUAAGAUGAAGUAUAGGGGCUGACGCCUGCCCGGUGCUGGAAGGUUA